AUUCCCUGAUCCAUUCCCCUUUUCCCAGGUUGUGGCCCUGGAGGGCUCCAACAGCUCCGGCAGCCGGAUCGUGGUGUCCAAACUCUACGAGGGGGUGCCACUGCCCUUCCACACCCCCCCAGAGCCGCCCUCGGGGCCCCUCCUGGUGCUCGUGGCCUGUGGCCCCUUCAC